AUCAUGAGGUGGAAUCUGAAGGAAGGGACAGGCAAAUCUCUGACCUGACGAAGAGAAUCCGCAUAAGCCAAUUUGGGAUGGAUAAGGUCGCCAAACCAAUCGAAGUCCCAUAAUGACUCGGGAUCCCCAAAGGUAGAUGCGGCAGGUGAAUGGAGAGAAAGCGU
rnacentral:ncRNA from 1 species